rnacentral:rRNA from 1 species
UACGUAGGGCGCAAGCGUUGUCCGGAAUUAUUGGGCGUAAAGAGCUCGUAGGCGGCUCAUCGCGUCUGCCGUGAAAACCCGCAGCUCAACUGCGGGCUUGCGGUUGAUACGGGUGGGCUGGAGUUCGGUAGGGGAGACUGGAAUUCCUGGUGUAGCGGUGAAAUGCGCAGAUAUCAGGAGGAACACCGGUGGCGAAGACGGGUCUCUGGGCCGAUACUGACGCUGAGGAGCGAAAGCGUGGGGAGCGAACAGG